rnacentral:rRNA from 1 species
CCUACGGGGUGCAGCAGUGGGGGAUAUUGGACAAUGGGCGAAAGCCUGAUCCAGCCAUGCCGCGUGUGUGAAGAAGGCCUUCGGGUUGUAAAGCACUUUCAGUGGGGAAGAAAGCCUUGGGGCUAAUACCCUCGAGGAAGGACAUCACCCACAGAAGAAGCACCGGCUAACUCCGUGCCAGCAGCCGCGGUAAUACGGAGGGUGCGAGCGUUAAUCGGAAUUACUGGGCGUAAAGCGCGCGUAGGCGGUCUGAUAAGCCGGUUGUGAAAGCCCCGGGCUCAACCUGGGAACGGCAUCCGGAACUGUCAGGCUAGAGUGCAGGAGAGGAAGGUAGAAUUCCCGGUGUAGCGGUGAAAUGCGUAGAGAUCGGGAGGAAUACCAGUGGCGAAGGCGGCCUUCUGGACUGACACUGACGCUGAGGUGCGAAAGCGUGGGUAGCAAACAGGAUUAGAUACCCUAGUAGU